AUUGAACGCUGGCGGCAGGCCUAACACAUGCAAGUCGAGCGGUAACACAGGGAGCUUGCUCCCGGGUGACGAGCGGCGGACGGGUGAGUAAUGUCUGGGAAACUGCCUGAUGGAGGGGGAUAACUACUGGAAACGGUAGCUAAUACCGCAUAACGUCGCAAGACCAAAGAGGGGGACCUUCGGGCCUCUUGCCAUCAGAUGUGCCCAGCUGGGAUUAGCUAGUAGGUGGGGUAACGGCUCACCUAGGCGACGAUCCCUAGCUGGUCUGAGAGGAUGACCAGCCACACUGGAACUGCGACACGGUCCAGACUCCUACGGGAGGCAGCAGUGGGGAAUAUUGCACAACGGGCGCAAGCCUGAUGCAGCCAUGCCGCGUGUAUGAAGAAGGCCUUCGGGUUGUAAAGUACUUUCAGCGGGGAGGAAGGUGUUGAGGUUAAUAACCUCAGCAAUUGACGUUACCCGCAGAAGAAGCACCGGCUAACUCCGUGCCAGCAGCCGCAGUAACAC
rnacentral:rRNA from 1 species